UACGUAGGGUGCAAGCGUUGUCCGGAAUUAUUGGGCGUAAAGAGCUCGUAGGCGGUCUGUCACGUCGGCUGUGAAAACCUGGGGCUCAACCCCGGGCCUGCAGCCGAUACGGGCAGACUAGAGGUAGGUAGGGGAGAAUGGAAUUCCUGGUGUAGCGGUGAAAUGCGCAGAUAUCAGGAGGAACACCGGUGGCGAAGGCGGUUCUCUAGUACGGUACUGACGCUGAGACGCGAAAGCGUGGGGAGCGAACAGG
rnacentral:rRNA from 1 species